rnacentral:rRNA from 1 species
UACAGAGGGUGCAAGCGUUAAUCGGAUUUACUGGGCGUAAAGGGCGCGUAGGUGGUUGCGUAAGUGAGAUGUGAAAUCCCCGGGCUUAACCUGGGACGUGCAUCUUAGACUGCGUAACUGGAGUGUAGUAGAGGGUAGUGGAAUUUCCGGUGUAGCGGUGAAAUGCGUAGAUAUCGGAAGGAACACCAGUGGCGAAGGCGGCUACCUGGACCGAUACUGACGCUGAGGCGCGAAAGCGUGGGGAGCAAACAGG